CCAUUUUGAAUCAUCUGUUGGAAAACAAGUAAUGCAUAUUAGGAGGUUUCAACUGCAGGUUCAGAAACGACUCUUCUUUAGCCAUGGCUUUGGCUCUGGCUGUAUUUGUCUUGGUCCUUGUUUCUUUCAGUGCUGCAUCUGCUCCUGACUGCAAAGACCUGAUCAAACCCAUCAUACCUGAGGAACCUAAACAGGUGUUUGGAAAAUGGAUCUAUGUGCUGGGAACUGGAGACCCCAAACCGUACCACAACGCCCUGAAGUCUCUGAAAAGCAGCUGGAUUGACUUAUCUCCCACAUGGAACAGUGCACUGGUGACAUUACGAUGGGGAGAUCAUUGUUUUAACCGCUGCAUCUAUGGGGAGGUGAAUGCUACAGUGGCAGGACUUUCAACCACAUUUCGCAGUAAGUAAAAGUAUCAGUUCACAAUAACACACAGACACGUCUCUGCAUGAAGACUAUGUUUCAGACCAUAUAAGGAUAGGGAUAAACAGAUCACAUUCAUUGUCAUUACUACAAACACAAAGUUUGUCAUCUAUUUUUAACUCAUCCUUGAGGAGCACAGAGCAGUUAGGAGUUAGAGGUACGGGACUUGUUCAACAGCUCACCGUGGAUUCAAACUGACAACCCUCCCUUUACAAUCCACUUCAUUCACCAUCAGUCCACCAUGGCCCAGAAGACAUGCACAGACUGCCGACUGCUGUAAAACUGCUGAAAAGUGGAAGUAAGGUGUGAAAUUGUGCCAAGUUUAAGGAAUGCCAUUCCCUUUUUAAGGAUGAAUAGUAUGGACAAAGUGACUUUAUGCAGACCACAUGUUUCUGACCAUCACAAGGCCACAGUCUGCUUGUAUUCCUCCCAUAAUGCAUAAUGUCAUUGUUUUAUUUAAGUUGUUAAUGUAGCCAUUAAACAGCAGUAUAGUGUAUAAACCAGACC
rnacentral:lncRNA from 1 species